UGAGGAAUCGCCACACUGUCUUCCACAAUGGUUGAACUAAUUUACACUCCCACCAACAGUGUAAAAGCAUUCCUAUUUCUCCACAUCCUCUCCAGCAUCUGUUGUUUCCUGACUUUUUGAUGAUCACCAUUGUAACUGGUGUGAGAUGGUAUCUUACUGUGGUUUUGAUUUGCAUUUUUCUGAUGACCAGUGAAGAUGAGCAUUUUUUCAUAUGUCUGCUGGCUGCAUAAAUGUCUUCUUUUGAGAAGUGUCUGUUCAUAUCCUUCACCCACUUUUUGAUGGGGUUGUUUUUUUCUUGUAAAUUUGUUUAAGUUCUUUGUAGAUUCUGGAUAUUAGCCCUUUGUCAGAUGGGUAGAUUGCAAAAAUUUUCUCCCAUUCUGUAGGUUGCCUGUUCACUCUGAUGAUAGUUUCUUUUGCUGUGCAGAAGCUCUUUAGUUUAAUUAGAUCCCAUUUGUCUAUUUUGGAUUUUGUUGCUAUUGCCUUUCUUAAAACCUAGAAAAUAAUCUUGGAUCUAUAUUUCUUUUGACAUAUAUCCUCUUGGUGUUACCACUUUAUUAUUGAGGGCCUUGUUGGGGAGUUUCUCUGGGGAAUGUGUGGGAGAGGGGAAGUUUGGAAUUUGGCAGAUUUUCUUCAGAGUUGUUUGAUAUGCAGGUGCCUCUUUUUCUAGGAGUGGCUGUGGGGCUGUGAUCUCUCCUAGAACCUCAGAGGCAUGAAGCUAGAAUAUCUUCCCCUUCAAGGAGAAUAAGCCAAGUUACGAUGUCUCUGAUAAAGAACUGGACCCAAGGAUCAGUGCAAUUGGCCAAACUUCAGGCUAUUAUCUUAGCAGUGGAUGCCUGGGUCACUAAUUGACCCCCUCUGUAUCAGGCUACAGACCUCAUAGAGCACCAUUAUGGAUUAUUUAAAUCUGUUUGAAUUCAACUACAAAAACGUAGUACAUUUUAUUUCUCGAACAUCAGGAGUAAAUUGUAAUAAGGAAGCUGUCUUUUUUUUUUUUUUGGAUGUUUGCUGACAGCAUCUAAGCCUCACCUCAGUUCUCCUUAAGCCCUGCAUUUGGACAAGCUAAUGAAAUUCCUGGGUGCUCUCUCCUUUGUUGUUGAAAGGAGUUUCAAACCAUGCAAGUCCCCAGCUGCACAUUGGAACCCUCACCCCAGCACCCCUAACCACCAUAAAAACUGUAAGCUAGUCUCCUUUCCUAGCUCUAUCAAGACAUUUUCAGAUCAGCUUUGGAAGCCUGCCUUGCUCUCCAAAAGAGCCUCAUUAUAACACAAGAAGAUCAGAGGCUGUAAGGAGCUGCUAUAAGGCCUUCUCCCAGUCACUUCCCUCUCUCUCCUGAGAGGCUGUCUUGAAUGAAUUUCUCAUCACUUACCAGAUUCUGAUGAGGGUAUAUGAGACAAGGACCUGGGGAGUUGGCCUCUUUGGUUCAUUCUUUGUACUGUUUAUCUAUGGUUGUUGCGGCCUUUGUUGAUGACAUUCAGCAUUGACUUCUUGGGUAAGGUAUUCAGUAGUUAAGAUUCAAUGACUCCAGUGAAAGGUAUUUUUCCAUCGUGAUGUUCUUCUUCUGGACAAUAAGUGAAAAGAGCAUGAUGCAUACAGAACUGCUACUUUUGUGAUGUUGCAAGUAAUGGUAUAGAUGUGCACAAAUCAUGGAUGUGGUCCCAGUGAUCCAUGGAAAUGUGAAGUCCAGGUGAGCACCGCCUCUCUCAUAAAGAUGCAGCACACCUUGAUUUCUCCCACUUCUUUGCUCAGUACCUGAUCCUGCCUCACUGCUGUCACCCUCCUUUUCCCUUUUCUCUACACUGCGGAGACUUCUAAUUCAGACACCAAACCCUUUCUAGUGGCCCUGUGUUUAUGUAUCACAGUAAAAUGUUAAAUGCUUCCAAAACAUACAAGGCCCUACAACAUCUGGCCCAUUUCCUCCUCAAAGUUGCCCCUACUGCUCCCCAUGGGCCACACAUCUCUAGUGGACCUGGACUCUGCAGCUUCUGGGUUGUGUCAGGCAGGCUCCUUCCCUCCUCAGGGCCUUUGCUCUAGCCAUUCCCUCUGCUUGGAUUGUUCCUGUCCCUUGUCUACAAGGAUAACUUCCUCACCCCCCUUGAGGCCUUGAUCACUUCCCACCUUCUAGAUGAGGCCUACCCAGGCCACCUUAUGAUGGACUGCUAAACCCACUCUUCCUUGCCACCCUGUCGCUGAUACCCCAGAUCCUCUUUUCCUUGGCCCAAGUGUCCUUUCUAUUAUAGUAUUUUGCAUCUAACAGACUAUUUAAUUACUUAUUGAUGAUUAUUGCUGUUCUCUCUCCAGCUAUAAUGGCUCCUGCUAGAGUAUUAGCUCCUGAUGGUAGGGAUCUUUGUCUCUUGCUCACUGGUAUAUCUCAAGCAGCCCAGAUCUCAUCUCUGGUGAGCAUACAUUGGAGUCACUCAGAAAAUACCUGUGGAUGUAAUGAAUGUGUUUGUGUCCUGUGCUAGAUGGGAGACUUGUGAGAGAAAGGGCCAUGUGUUGUUGGUCUUUGUAAACCUACCAUCCACACUCUCUGAUACAACCAGAAGGGCAGUACUGAAUAGUCGUUGAAUUAAUUAAUCUUUUGAAAAUGACACUGAUAGGAAAAACAUUCUCUUUGCAUUCUGCAGCUUUUCCAGUGGUUGCCAUUUGUUUCGGCACCAUAUAGGUACCAGAUGCCAUAGGCAGAAUCUGGCACCAUAUAGGUACCAAAUGCCAUAGAAAGGCAGCCAUGGGAUACCUGAAGGCCAGAAGUCUGAUUCAUUUUCCGUGGCAUCUUCACAGGGUAGCACAGUUCCUACCACACAGCAUGACUUGAGGUGGUGUUUUCAGAUCUUGGUCAUUCAUUGCCUAAAUUGUUUUGGUUUUAUCUGGACAGGACAUAUACUAUGAUUUACAUAUUGCAUUUUAUUUUCACAAGACAGUGGCUUUCAGAAAGAAACACAAUUAUAUAAUUAAACACAAAGCAGAACGAUGUUACAAAAAAGUUGAAAACAAAGUGGAAGCUAUUGUUUUGUAAUAGGAUACAUAACAAUGGAUGGGCUAUAGUAGGCACUUCAUGUACCUUUUUUAUUUAACCCUAAUGAAAACCCUUCAAUCACAAUGUUGUCAUUCCCAUUUUCAAAAGAGAGAAGAUUGAGAUCUAAGGCCUUAUGUAACUUGGCCAGUAUCUGACAGCUAGGAGGUAUCUGAAUGAGGUGGAAUCUUCCAGGCUCAUUGAUGAGAACACCCCACAAAGAUGGCAGUAUAGGCAGAGCCCCACCACUUAACUUGCCCCUGGAGUUCUCUCUGCUCCCCUCCCCGUUUCUCAUGCACACAUCUCUGCAACAUUUUCCUCCCAUCUCCUAACACUUUCAGAAGCUCCUCAUCCUAGAGGUUGUUCUCCUGCUCCUUUGGUCAAGUGCUGGAAAUUUCAACACUAAUUUCUGCAGAGGCAGAGGAAUGGAGUUUGUUUCAAGUCCUUGUGAAGGGAUAAAAUGAUUGGUACUUACAGCUGCUUCAAGGUCUUGAUGAGGCUGGAUCUGGAGGAGGGUCUUUUAUGCAAGCUAGUCCCUGCAUGAGAGGAUUCCGGUCUUGGAAGGAUGCCUUCCCCUCCACAAAGACAUCUGGCCAGCCCACAAGGAAGAUAGUUUACUUAUCAAUGACACUGUGUACCCACAGGCUCAGGCCAGUUUCGUCAGAAGCAGAACAGGCUUUCCAAGGUCACCAAGCUGUUCUAAACUUCACCUAUUCAUUAGAGAAAGGCAACAAGACACAGGCAUGUUUGGUAUCAAAAUUGUGAUCAGGAAGAUGGCUGCAUUCCCUGUUCCAUGGUAAAACAUCUCAUACCACCAAUGAACUCAGCCAGUUCUAGAGAGAUUUCCACCAUGAUAGAACGUUUCUGACUGUGGGCUCUGGGCCAGCCAUUCUCUGGGAGUGCAAGAUGGAAAAAUAUGAGGCUUCCCUUUCCUCUUUUCAAUCUUUUUCCAGGUUAUUUAUUUCGAGGCAAGUUUGAAAAUCAGUAGUUCUGUUAGGAGUUUUCCUACACUACAAUAGUAUAUCCUAUGAGUGAAUAGCCAUCACAAUCUUAGAUUCUUUCCCUUUAGCUUUGAUCAAAUAGCUUUUACUACCAACCUACAUCGCAGAAGGAAGCAUCCUUGAUUUUUGUGUCAGAUGAACUUAUUGUGUAGAAUUCAUAAAAUUCUAAUAAAGAAAUUAUAUUGUGGGAAAAUGGUAUUGCUUUACUGCAAUAUCAGAAUAUAUAAUAAUUGCUUUUUCAGGGCCCACUAUGUAUCAGGUGUUUUAUAUAUCUUACUGAUAGUUUUCUUAAAAUCCCUGUGACGUACGAAUCUUUCUUCCAGUUUCACAGAUGAGGAAAUUUAGGCUCAGAAGGAUAGAUUACUUGUCCCUGUUCACACAGCUAGGAGGUGCAGAGCUGGGAUUUAAAAGACAUGCAUCACAAUCCAUUGCCUACAUUGGUCAGCAGUAUUCCUACAUUUUACAUAGUCUUGGAAAGAAAUCCCUGUGUCUCUGAAAGUCACUAAUGUAAAUUUUAAAAUUCCAUACUGCUGUUAUGUCAUCCUUCUAUUUUAGAGUUUGACUUAUGACAAACGGUAUUUUUCCUUUCCUGUGAAAUAUUUAGUUUAGUUUACAACAAUAUAUUUAGGGUUGGCAGCUUUGAAAAUGUGUAUAUAUGAAUAAGUUAAAUAAUGUUGAUUUAUCCCUUUUUGUGUGCUGAAAACUAUGCUAUGUACUGUGUAGAGGCCCAUGAACUAAUGAAUUUGCUUUCUCUCCCUGUGACAUCUACCAGCUUCUAGAAUACUUUGCAUGGCUCCUGAUACACAAAAGCCACACAUAGGAUACCUAUGUGGAAAGUAACUAGUGUACAGCCUCCAGUUUGGAAGUGGGUGUUUUUGCUAUCAGUGUUUCAGUAUGAAAUGUAUUCGUUCAGCAAACCCUCUGCAAUGCCUAUAUGUUUCAUGCAGUGUACCUGACUGAUAGAGCAUAUGUAAAGACCAAGUAAAAACUGGCCCUUAUUCAUAACCAUCUCCUAGGAAAACAAAGCAAUAAAAGAAUGUAAAUUCUCAAUUAUAGUCUGCACAGGGUGUAUUUGCUGUGAAAGAGGGGAAAAGAGGGAGAGGAGACAAGAAAUUUGACGGAGAAAGAGUAGAGGAAAUAGGAGCAGGACUCACAUCUGGCAGACUGAAUCCUUGUGACUAUGAACAUGCAUGUCUGUGCUUGAAAAUGCUGUUAUUUGUGGGUUCAGAGGCUUGAUUUCAUAUUCCUGCAAGUUUGUGCCUUUCACCUAAACACUUAAAUAAUUGGAUUAGCAAUCUUAUAUUCAUUCAUUAAUCUCUCCAGUUAAUUUAUUUUUAAACAAUCACUUGUAAAACCUAGGGGAAUUUCUAAAUUAAUCCCACUGUGAGGACAUUUCAGAAACUGAGAGAUUAUUAGAAAGGCCAACAUCAAUUAUGAAGCCAGGAAUUCAGCAAUACACGGGUACUAGAAGCUAUUGACAAAUGGGAGCUAGGUUAAAAGAAAGUCCCCAUGUUUCAUGCACUGUGGUAGGCUGUGGGUUUGUCAGGGACAUUCAGGAACUUUGCAGGUGUCUCAUGCAGAAAAUCAUGUGGGCAUAUCCUAACCCCACUGCCAGUGGUCUGUAAAGAUUUGUCACAGUUAUUUAUCCAGGAGGUGUUUUACACUCACACACCCACACAUGCAUGCACACACACACACACACACACCUCUUAUAAAUUAGAAUCCUGGAACGCUGAUUGAAUCACAGAGCUAGCUGGUUUUGGAGACUCUAAAGCCUCAAGGAAUGUCUAUCAUACAUGUUUUCCAUAAUAAGUUAUUUAGUUUAAUUCAGAGCCACUGCCUGCCAUUCCUCUGGCUUUGCUUGUCUGUUUUGGCACCGCAAGAGAACCCUGAAAUUGAAGUCUCUGCCUCAUUUAAAAGGCAGGGACAGAAGGGGCAGCCCCAGCAUCUGAGCCCUUCACAGUGAGAAUGACACCAUCUUACCUGGAAGUGUCCUCCAUUGUUGCUGUCACACUUGAAGCUGCCUGUUCUCACAGCUAUAUUGCAAUCAGUCUUCACUACAUAACAUUUAGCGUUCUUGGCCCUUGGCGUUUAGCUAUACCUACUUUAAUUUGCACCUUAGAGCUAUAUAGGUUAUGGCUGAGCCAGAUAUUAGUCUUCAUCCUCCGCAGUGGUUUAGAUAACGCAGUGCAUCACUUUAACCACAACAGAUUCCAUAUAGUAAUAACUUAAAUACCUGUAUAUUAGUUUCCUAUUGCUUUAUUAAAAAUUACCACCCACUUAGUGGCUUAAAACAGCAUACAUUUAUCAUUUCACAGUUUCCAUAAGUCUGCCAUGGAUCAACUGUGUUCUCUGUUUAGGACCUUGCAAGGCUGAAAUCAACUUGUCACUCUCACAGACACACCCAGGAUUAUGUUUGCUCAAAUGUCUGGGCACCCCGUGGCUCAGUCAUGUUGACACAUAAAAUUAACCAUAACACCAAGCGUCUUGACACAGCUUGUAAAUUAACCAUUAUAUUUUAAUUCCCUUUUUAUCUUAAAUGAUCUAUUUCCGUGUUUUCAUACCUAUAAAAUGGAGCUGUGAAUAAUUUUACUUUGUUAGUUUCAUGUUUAUUAAUUUUAAGGUUAUAUGUGUGAAUAGGCAAAACAGUUAAUCAGGCAGUUGAUGUUCUUUACUGCAAAAGGGAACUUUUACCACGUGGCAUGCAGACUUUUAAUAGUUAUGAAAUUUUUACCACAUAGCAAGUUCUUCUACAAGCUCUUUAAAUGCUUUACCUCAUUUGAUUCAUAAGUACCUUUAUUAUCCCUAUAUUCAUAGGAAGACAUUUUGUAUAACACACAGAAGCUAAGUAAUUUAUCCUAAAUGACAUCUUUUAAGUGGCAGGCCCAGGAUUGGAAUCUAUGACUGUAGAACCAGUCUUCCUAUCCAAUUAUUGUGACCAUAUAAUUUAUCAUUCAAACACGUCAAAGAGAGAAAUAUUAAAAUUAUGCCUCCACAAUUGGCAUAAGACAAAAAGUCAGACAUAUCAAGCCAAUUGCUCACUACAUGACAGUUUUUUUUUUGUUGUUGUUGUUGUUUUUUUUGCUUACACCUAACAGAAAAAUCUUACUUAGACUGGCUAAAUCAAAAAGCAAGUUCAUAAUCUCACAGCAUUUGUAACAUCCUCAUGACAUGACUUUUUCUUCCUCUACUAUGUUAUUCCUGUCAACAUACAUACUGGUGUUAUUUUUGCCAUGUUAAAAAAAAUGCAAACACCAAAAACCUGUUUACCUCACUCCUUUUACGUGCUUAGUGCCAUUUAUCUGUUCCCCAAUUGCAAGCUUCCCACAGAGCGUUGUCUAUGGUCACUGUGUCCCAUUUCUCUCCUAUUCUGUCUUAAUCAUACUUCAGCCAGGCCUACGCACCUUCCACUAAACAAACUGUUCUUGUCAAGGUAACCAUGACACCAAUAUUUCUAAAUCGAAUGGCUAUUUCGCAGUCUUCUCCUUAAUUUACCUAUUUAUACUUUUGG